AUGGCCUGCACUCCUGUCUUCCUGGGGAUGCUCUUUCACUGCAGAGGCUCCCUGUCCCAGCCCGAGCUGACCCAGCCGCCCUCCUUCUGUGCAUCUGGGAACGACAGACAGACUCACCUGCACCUGAGCAGGGACAUCAGUGUUGGUGGCUCUAACAUCUACAGGAUCCUGCAGCAGCCAGGGAGCCCUCCCCAGGGUCUCCUGUACUACUCCUCAGACUCCGAUAAGCACCAGGGCUCUGGGGUCCCCAGCCGCUUCUCGGGCUCCAAAGACGCCUCGGCCAAUGCAGGGCUUCUGCGCAUCUCGGGGCUGCAGGCUGAGGCCGAGGCGGACUAUCACUGGGCUGCAGCUCAUGGCGGUGGGAGCAGCUUCUGGAUAUUUGACAGCAACUUCUGUGUCCAGUAG